rnacentral:rRNA from 1 species
GGGGACAACCCGCCGAAAGGCGGGCUAAACCCGCGUACAUGCCACCGGGGCAUCCCGGAGGCAGGAAAGGCUUCGGCCGGACAGGGAUGGGCAUGCGGCGCAUUAGGCAGUAGGCGGGGUAACGGCCCACCUAACCGACGAUGCGUAGGGGUUCUGAGAGGAAGGUCCCCCACACUGGUACUGAGACACGGACCAGACUCCUACGGGAGGCAGCAGUGAGGAAUAUUGGUCAAUGGUCGGGAGACUGAACCAGCCAAGCCGCGUGAGGGAUGAAGGUACAGAGUAUCGUAAACCUCUUUUGUCAGGGAACAAAGGCGGGGACGUGUCCCCGGAUGAGUGUACCUGAAGAAAAAGCAUCGGCUAACUCCGUGCCAGCAGCCGCGGUAAUACGGAGGAUGCGAGCGUUAUCCGGAUUUAUUGGGUUUAAAGGGUGCGCAGGCGGUCUGUUAAGUCAGCGGUCAAAGCCCGGGGCUCAACCCCGGCCCGCCGUUGAAACUGGCAGUCUCGAGUUGGAGAGAAGUAUGCGGAAUGCGCGGUGUAGCGGUGAAAUGCAUAGAUAUCGCGCAGAACUCCGAUUGCGGAGGCAGCAUGCCGGCUCCACACUGACGCUGAGGCACGAAAGCGUGGGUAUCGAACAGGAUUAGAUACCCUGGUAGUCCACGCAGUAAACGAUGAA